UCCCGUGCUGGGCCCUCCUGGGCGGGUUCUCUCUUGCUGCCGCCAGUACCCUGCCCCUCUCGUCCUCCUGGGUAGCCUGGGAGGAAUGGCAGAAGAAAGCAGUGAAGCCAGGUAGCAGUAGCCCGGCCACCCCACCAGGCUCUGCUGUAGGCUGGGCUCUCAAGGCAGCUGCUCCAGGAGGGGCCCCCUAGGAAGGGACUGCCACACUCCUGGGAGCGUUCCUGGCCCCCUCCAGUGCAAAUGACCCUGGGCCCCAAGGCUCCGAACACCCGCCCCUCUGCUCCAGGUUAAAAUCUGGAUUGAAAAAGCAAGUGGGGUUUGUUGGCCUCUCAAAAAGUGGAGCAUAGGCCGGGUGCGGUGGCUCACGCCUGUAACGCCAGCACUUUGGGAGGUCAAGGUGGGCGGAUCACCUGAGGUCAGAAGUUUGAGACCAGCCUGGCCAACAUGGUGAAACCCCAUCUCCACUAAAAAGACAAAAGUUAGCCAGGCGUGGUGGUGAACACCUGUAAUCCCAGCUACUUGGGAGGCUGAGGCAGGAGAAUCGCUUGAACCCGGGAGGUGGAGGUUGCAGGGAGCCAAGAUCGCACCACUGCACUCCAGCCUGGGUGAGAGAGCAAGACUCUGUCUCAAGAA
ensembl:lncRNA TMEM105 TMEM105 long non-coding RNA